AACCGUUUAAACAAGGAUUGAAUAUUUCUUUCAAAAUAUAGUGAAUCAAGAAUAGGACUAUUAAAAUUCCGAAGAAAAAAAACAUUCAGAUACUUUUUGGCUUUCCUCUUUUUAGAGAAACAUUAGACCUAACUCCAUGAAUAUUUACAUGUAAAAAUGCAUUUUGAACAAUUGAUUUUUUUUCCGUUUAAGCUUGAAGAGAAAUAUCCUAACCAAUAUAUGGACUUGGACAUCUACAGCUUGGAGACGCCAAAUGUGACAUUUGAGAAUAAUUUGGCGGUGAUAAAAUUAUAUACAGUCAUGUUUGUAUACAUUCGGCACCCGGAAAAACAAAAUUCUACACUGAUUGCUAAACUUGAUGGAAAUGCUGAGAUGCGAAUCAGAGUCUUUAUGACCAAUUCAACUUUUCAGGGGAAUAUCGUUGCGUUUGAGCCUUAUCUAAAAAAUAUGGAGUCAACUGUCCAUGGCUUUGAUGGUACAAAUUUCAACUUUAAUAAGACCUUUUAUGCAGACGGUGAAUUUUAUACUAAUGAGUGCAGUGGUGACAACGGUAGAACCAGUCCUUAACGAGCUCGGGAGAAAAGGAAUGCCGUUACCACUUACACCUUGAAUACAGCUGGAAAACAGUAGUGUUAAUUUAAUUGAGAAUGCUAUUGUCAUAGGGAGCGACGGAACAUAUAACCGAACAGAAGAUUGGAUCAUUCUUCAGAUCGUUUGAAAUAUUCAGUGGCGCUUUGUUCAUCAACACACAAAAUGUCUUCAAAAAUAUGUUUUAAACGUGUAAUGUACAUAUAUUUAUGUAAAAUAAAAGAAAACAAAUCUUUUGUUAAUAAUUUCAAUUUUAUA